UACGGAGGGUGCAAGCGUUAUCCGGAUUCACUGGGUUUAAAGGGUGCGUAGGAGGGUAGGUAAGUCAGUGGUGAAAUCUUCGAGCUUAACUCGGAAACUGCCGUUGAUACUAUCUAUCUUGAAUACCGUGGAGGUGAGCGGAAUAUGUCAUGUAGCGGUGAAAUGCUUAGAUAUGACAUAGAACACCAAUUGCGAAGGCAGCUCGCUACACGAAUAUUGACUCUGAGGCACGAAAGCGUGGGGAUCAAACCGG
rnacentral:rRNA from 1 species